UUUAAAAAAUAAAUAAAAAUAAUGAUACACAUGAAUUAACCAGUGGCUUCUAAGAUGGUAAAGCAGCACCAUUGUGAGUGAACCAUUGGGUUCUUAGUGGGUAGAGCAGCACCAUUCUGAAUUAACCAGUGGGUUCUAAGGUGGUAGAGCAGCCCCAGUGCGUCCUCCCAGCCUGAUGUCCCCAGUGAGGCUUCCGGACUGAAGAGCUUCUGCGCCGCUUCCGCCGCCAUUGCGGUUUUCGGAGUAAAGCUUGUGCCGCCGUAGCCGCUGCUCCUCUCCGAUGCGGUGGAUAUAACGCACGGACCGGGGGACAUAUUUGACAUUUCUGACAACGGAAUUUGUUUUUCAAACGUUCAAAAACACUCAGUUUUGCCGCCCUGAUCCGGCUUCGUUAUCUCCUCCCUGGCUCCGACCUACAGAGAUAAGGAGAGGUCGUAGCUAGCGCGGCUAAGCUACUCCCACUGUCAGCUAGCUGUAGAGCUACAACAUCAGCACCAUUGAGGGACCAAACUCAAGCAACAUGGCUCAAAUACUGCCUAUCCGCUUCCAGGAGCACCUGCAGCUGCAGAACCUUGGAAUCAACCCAGCCAACAUCGGGUUCAGCACUCUGACCAUGGAGUCUGAUAAAUUCAUUUGCAUCAGAGAGAAGGUGGGCGAACAGGCCCAAGUGGUUAUUAUUGACAUGGCCGACCCCAACACUCCCAUCCGCAGACCCAUCUCUGCAGACAGCGCGAUCAUGAAUCCAGCCAGUAAAGUGAUCGCCCUCAAAGACGCUGCAAAGACUCUACAGAUCUUUAACAUUGAGAUGAAGAGCAAGAUGAAGGCCCACACCAUGACGGACGACGUGACGUUCUGGAAGUGGAUCUCCCUCAACACGGUCGCCCUGGUCACCGACAAUGCCGUCUACCAUUGGAGCAUGGAAGGAGACUCCCAGCCAAUCAAAGUCUUUGACCGUCACUCCAGCCUGGCCGGAUGUCAGAUCAUUAACUACCGCACCGAUGCCAAACAGAAAUGGCUUCUGCUGAUUGGUAUUUCAGCACAGCAAAACCGUGUGGUGGGGGCCAUGCAGCUGUACUCGGUGGACAGGAAGGUGUCCCAGCCCAUCGAAGGCCAUGCCGCGGGCUUCGCCCAGUUCAAGAUGGAGAGCAACACAGAGGAGUCCACUCUGUUCUGCUUCGCCGUGCGGGGACAGGCUGGAGGAAAGCUGCACAUCAUCGAGGUGGGCACUCCCCCGACGGGCAACCAGCCGUUCCCAAAGAAAGCCGUGGACGUGUUCUUCCCACCGGAGGCCCAGAACGACUUCCCCGUCGCCAUGCAGAUCAGCUCCAAGCAGGACGUGGUGUUCCUCAUCACCAAGUAUGGCUACAUCCACCUGUAUGACCUGGAGACCGGCACCUGCAUCUACAUGAACCGCAUUAGCGGGGAGACCAUCUUCGUGACCGCCCCCCACGAGCCAACCGCGGGCAUCAUCGGGGUCAACAGGAAAGGACAGGUGCUGUCGGUGUGCGUGGAGGAGGAGAACAUCAUCCCCUACAUCACCAACGUGCUGCAGAACCCUGACCUGGCACUGCGCAUGGCCGUGCGCAACAACCUGGCCGGCGCCGAGGAGCUGUUCGCCCGCAAGUUCAACACCCUGUUUGCAGCAGGGAACUACUCCGAGGCGGCCAAGGUGGCAGCCAACGCACCCAAGGGCAUCCUCCGUACCCCGGACACCAUCCGGCGCUUCCAGAGCGUGCCCGCCCAGCCGGGCCAGACGUCCCCCCUGCUGCAGUACUUUGGCAUCCUGCUGGACCAGGGCCAGCUCAACAAGUUUGAGUCCCUAGAGCUGUGCAGACCGGUGCUCCAGCAGGGACGCAAGCAGCUGCUGGAGAAGUGGCUCAAGGAGGACAAGCUGGAGUGCUCAGAGGAACUGGGGGACCUAGUGAAGUCUGUGGACCCCACGCUGGCCCUCAGCGUCUACCUGAGGGCCAACGUCCCAAACAAGGUCAUCCAGUGUUUUGCAGAGACGGGCCAGUUCCAGAAGAUUGUCCUCUACGCUAAGAAGGUGGGGUACACCCCGGACUGGAUCUUCCUGCUCAGGAACGUGAUGCGCAUCAGUCCGGAGCAGGGCCUGCAGUUCUCCCAGAUGCUGGUCCAGGACGAGGAGCCACUGGCUGACAUCACACAGAUCGUGGACGUGUUCAUGGAGUACAACCUGAUCCAGCAGUGCACCUCCUUCCUGCUGGACGCCCUGAAGAACAACCGGCCCACCGAGGGCCCGCUGCAGACGCGCCUGCUGGAGAUGAACCUGGUGCACGCCCCACAGGUUGCCGACGCUAUUCUGGGCAACCAGAUGUUCACCCACUACGACCGCGCCCACGUGGCCCAGCUGUGCGAGAAGGCGGGCCUCCUGCAAAGGGCGCUGGAGCACUACACCGACCUGUACGACAUCAAGCGGGCCGUGGUGCACACGCACCUGCUCAACCCUGAGUGGCUGGUGAACUUCUUCGGCUCCCUGUCGGUGGAGGACUCCCUGGAGUGCCUGCGGGCCAUGCUGUCGGCCAACAUCCGGCAGAACCUGCAGAUCUGCGUCCAGGUGGCCUCCAAGUACCACGAGCAGCUCUCCACGCAGUCCCUCACCGAGCUCUUUGAGUCCUUCAAGAGCUUCGAGGGCCUCUUCUAUUUCCUGGGCUCCAUCGUGAACUUCAGCCAGGACCCCGAGGUCCACUUCAAGUACAUCCAGGCGGCCUGCAAGACAGGCCAGAUCAAGGAAGUGGAGCGCAUCUGCCGCGAGAGCAACUGCUACGACCCCGAGCGAGUCAAGAACUUCCUCAAGGAGGCCAAGCUGACGGACCAGCUGCCUCUGAUCAUCGUGUGCGACCGCUUCGACUUCGUCCACGACCUGGUGCUGUACCUCUACCGCAACAGCCUGCAGAAGUACAUUGAAAUCUAUGUGCAGAAGGUGAACCCUAGCCGCUUGCCCGUGGUCAUUGGGGGGCUGCUGGACGUGGACUGUGCCGAGGACGUCAUCAAGAACCUGAUCAUGGUGGUGCGGGGGCAGUUCUCCACCGACGAGCUGGUGGCCGAGGUGGAGAAGAGGAACAGACUGAAGCUGCUGCUGCCCUGGCUGGAGGCCCGCAUCCACGAGGGCUGCGAGGAGCCGGCGACCCACAACGCCCUGGCCAAGAUCUACAUCGACAGCAACAACAACCCGGAGCGCUUCCUGCGGGAAAACCCCUUCUACGACAGCCGCGUGGUGGGCAAGUACUGCGAGAAGAGGGACCCCCACCUGGCCUGCGUGGCCUACGAGAGGGGCCAGUGCGACCAGGAGCUCAUCCACGUCUGCAACGAGAACUCUCUGUUCAAGAGUCUGUCUCGCUACCUAGUGCGUCGCAAAGACCCCGAGCUGUGGGCCAGCGUGCUGCUGGAGACCAACCCUUACAGGAGACCCCUGAUCGACCAGGUGGUGCAGACUGCCCUCUCGGAGACCCAGGACCCGGAGGAGGUGUCGGUCACGGUCAAGGCCUUCAUGACGGCCGACCUACCCAACGAGCUCAUUGAGCUGCUGGAGAAGAUCGUCCUGGACAACUCUGUGUUCAGCGAGCACCGGAACCUGCAGAACCUGCUGAUCCUGACUGCCAUCAAGGCGGACCGCACACGCGUCAUGGAGUACAUCAACCGCCUGGACAACUACGACGCCCCCGACAUCGCCAACAUCGCCAUCAGCAACGAGCUAUUCGAGGAGGCCUUCGCCAUCUUCAAGAAGUUUGACGUCAACACCUCGGCUGUGCAGGUUUUGAUCGAGCACAUCGGGAACCUGGACCGGGCCUACGAGUUUGCCGAGCGCUGCAACGAGCCGCCGGUGUGGAGCCAGCUGGCCAAGGCGCAGCUGCAGAAGGGGCUGGUGAAGGAGGCCAUCGACUCUUACAUCAAGGCGGACGACCCCUCCGCCUACAUGGAGGUCGGCCAGGCGGCCGCACAGAGCGGUAACUGGGAGGACCUGGUGAAGUUCCUCCAGAUGGCUCGUAAGAAGGCCCGAGAGUCCUACGUGGAGACGGAGCUGAUCUUCGCCCUGGCCAAGACCAACCGCCUGGCUGAGCUGGAGGAGUUCAUCAACGGCCCAAACAACGCCCACAUCCAGCAGGUGGGCGACCGUUGCUACGACGACAAGAUGUACGACGCGGCCAAGCUGCUGUACAACAACGUGUCCAACUUCGGCCGGCUGGCCUCCACGCUGGUGCACCUCGGGGAGUUCCAGGCGGCCGUUGACGGGGCGCGCAAGGCCAACAGCACCCGCACCUGGAAGGAGGUGUGCUUCGCCUGUGUGGAUGGGAAGGAGUUCCGGCUGGCCCAGAUGUGCGGUCUCCACAUCGUGGUGCACGCUGACGAGCUGGAGGAGCUCAUCAACUACUACCAGGACCGUGGCUACUUCGAGGAGCUGAUCACCAUGCUGGAGGCGGCGCUGGGCCUGGAGCGAGCCCACAUGGGCAUGUUCACCGAGCUGGCCAUCCUCUACUCUAAGUUCAAACCCCAGAAGAUGAGGGAGCACCUGGAGCUCUUCUGGUCCCGGGUCAACAUCCCAAAGGUGCUGCGGGCGGCGGAGCAGGCCCACCUGUGGGCGGAGCUGGUGUUCCUGUACGACAAGUACGAGGAGUACGACAACGCCAUCAUCACCAUGAUGAGCCACCCCUCCGAUGCCUGGAAGGAGGGCCAGUUCAAAGACAUCGUCACCAAGGUGGCCAACGUUGAGCUGUACUACAAAGCCACUCAGUUCUACCUGGAGUUCAAGCCCCUGUGCCUCAACGACCUGCUCAUUGUGCUGUCUCCCAGGCUGGACCACACGCGCGCCGUCAACUACUUCAGCAAGGUCAAGCAGCUGCCCUUGGUGAAACCGUACCUGCGGUCGGUCCAGAACCACAACAACAAAUCUGUGAACGAGGCGCUGAACAACCUCUUCAUCACAGAGGAAGACUAUGCAGCCCUGCGCGCAUCCAUCGAUGCCUACGACAACUUUGACAACAUCUCGCUGGCCCAGGGGCUGGAGAAGCACGAGCUGAUCGAGUUCAGGAGGAUCGCGGCGUAUCUCUUCAAGGGCAACAACCGCUGGAAGCAGAGCGUGGAGCUGUGCAAGAAGGACAAGCUUUACAAGGAUGCCAUGCAGUACGCGUCCGAGUCAAAGGACACGGAGCUGGCGGAGGAGCUGCUGGCCUGGUUCCUGGAGGAGGACAAGAAGGAGUGCUUCGCCGCCUGCCUCUUCACCUGCUACGACCUGUUACGGCCCGACGUGGUGCUGGAGACCGCCUGGCGCCACAACCUCAUGGACUUCUCCAUGCCCUACUUCAUCCAAGUCAUGAGGGAGUACCUCAGCAAGGUUGAUGCGAUAAAGGAAAAGCUUCACUAGCACUGUAGCUAGGACUGUAGCUAGUACUUUAGACUGAACUAUAGCUAGCCACACCUCAGUGGUCCACUCUCCUCCUCUCUCCUCCCCAACCCCAGGGAAUGCAAAGGGUCUGCUGGUGUCAGUGAUGGUCUUGUGUUAUCAUGGGGAAUAGGGGUGAGACUCUGAACCGUUACCCCGACUAAAGAGCCAAAUGUGUGUAAAUGCAGAGUAAAGAGGAAGCACUCGCCUUAACAUAAUAGAUAGUGCUAGUGCGUUUUGGUAUAGGACCUGGGCAACCUGGCCAUGCCUGUGCCCCUGCCAUUCUAUGGUUUUGGUAGAGAGGUGAUCACAAAUGUCCAAUCUCAAUUCUAGGGUUUUGUGUGUACUUAUAAUAAACUGGAGAAAGUGGUAUGCUCUCAGCCAGACGUCGUAUGAAUGAUCAUGAGGCAUCCAUCAACACCAGCCGGCCCAGUGUCUCUCCAGGGUGCGGUCCGCAGAGAGCCCUACUCGAAUCUAAAGGCCUGUUUGGUCCCUGGACCCUAUCGAUAGACGUCUUGUAAUCACGUCAAAGUCUGGACAGCACCGCUAGCGCCAGGCCGCGGCAGACCCAAACUCGCUCUGGGAGAGACCGUGCCUCCCUGAGCUAUAAAGGCUCAAUAAAAUGGCCCAGAGUUCUGUCUUUAUUCAUUGUUAAGUACCAUGAUAGCAAGUGCAUGAUAGGGUGGCAAGAUGCGCUAACUAGGGCAAAACUAGGGCCUAAUCUGAAUGAAUGGUCACCAUUCUUUCAGAUUAUCUUUCCAUUAUGCCCACAUGAUGUGAAAUCUAACUUGAAUUGAUCAACGGACAUUGUGCAAUUCUGACCCGAUUUUGUUUUUGAUUGACUUAACUCUGACAGUGACCCUCUUCAUCAACUAGAGCACGCGCAAAAAAGCUAAACUAAUCAUCAAACGCCACCGGUGUCGAUAACCAGCCUAGCUCCCCCCCACACACACACACGUACACGCACACACCACCACCACCUGUUUCCGUGUAGCGUUAGCAGGUCUCCGGCCAGGCUAGAAGACGCUGUUGUUGUUGGCUGCUGCCUGCUUCUGAACGCCUUGAAACAGCUGGAACAAACCCCACCCCGGCCUCCCUCUCACCACAGCCGGCUUCUGGCUUCUCUUCUUUCCCUCUCUUCCCCUCUCUCCGUUUCCUCCUCACUCGCGCACUCUUUUAACCGAGGGGAAUGACUUGGCUGCCUCUUCAGCAUGUCACUCUUCCCUCUCUCUCUUCUCUUCAAAUCCAAACCUGCAGCCUAUCUUAACUUUUUUGUUGACCAAAAGAAACAAAGCCUGCAUAACCAGAUGGACUGGCUGAGUAGAUGUAGUGGCGACCAAGUAUGUGGAGAACUCGAGCCAGAGCAUCAGCCAGGGCCCCUUUAAGUCAUGCAUAUUGAUUAUUACAACCAUGAAUCAAGGCACUAUCAAAUUUUCCACUGCUCGAUUCAGAGAUGUUGUCAGUGGUUUCCUUUUGUCCAGUGCUGGCCUGGCGCUUCAUACGAGUUAAACGGUUGAGUUACAGCUGCUUUCCUUUCCCUUUUUGGUUUUAUAACCUUUUUGUACUAUUGAGAAAAAAAGUUGGAUGUCUGUCUGACUGCAUUGCUACGCUAUUCCACUACUCAAUUUUUUUUGUGCUGGACUUUUAAAUGGAGGUCGGUAAAUCCCCCCACCCCCACACACACACAGACACACACUGCUUGUUGUCAACAUACUGAGGGCGUCCAUAGUGUGAGAAAAAGACGGAUGGAUUUGUUGGCUGGAUGGUGGGACCAUUAGAUUACCUUUAGCUGUUUGCGUGUUUUGACUCUUCAUCAAAGAGAUCCCCCCCCCCUCCACAACCAUUGGGUCAUGUGACCUAGCCCAGCUCCGUAGAGCCAGCCUGUAGUUGUAGUGUCAGCUGCUCCGCCCCCCCCCCCUCCCAACCCAGCAUGGCUAGUUCUAGCGGCUGUUUCAAUCUGAAAGUGUACUCGUCUCCGCCUGUCAGGAAUGGUCCCACCCGCCAGCCAGUGCAAUAACCCAGAGGUCGACCAGCUCGAGGCCUCUGAAUCUCUGAGGAAACAGGAGGAGCAGGCAACCGAGGCCCAGCCCAUCGUCUAUGGCACCCCCCAGCUGAUGCUGACCUCGGGGAACAACGUGGCCGCUCCCCCCCAGCAGCCCUACGGUUACGGCUACCCGGCGGCCCCCGGAGGCUACUCCCAGCCCGCACAGCCCGGCUUCAGCUACGGCAUGUGAUCUCCCCCCCUCCCCCCAAAACACACCUUCAUCUACAACCAUCCUGUCUCUCUCUCCCUCCCUCUCUCCUAUGUCUCUCUCCCUCCCUCUCUCUGUCUCUCCUGCUGCCCUCUUUGUCUCUCUCUCUCUCUCUCUCUCUCUUCGUCUCUAUCUAUACUCGUGUUCCUCACCAGCUCACCAGGGUCUUCUACUGAAGGGUCUGCGACUAACGGCCCACACUCGUUUUAAACACCUUUUUUAUUUCUUUACUUUUUUUAUCAUGGUUUAUUGUAACCGUACUGAAGGACUUUUGUUUGCGUUAAGAGGCGAACCAAGAGGCUGGGGACCGUAUGAUGUUAUUGUUUAGUAUUUUUCUCACAUUCCAUAUUUAUGACUACUUGUUAUUUAGACUGUUUUUGUUUUUGUUGUGUAUGUUUAUGUAUAAUUAUUAUUUUUUAAACUGGUUUAUUGUGGAGGUGGACUGGAAGCUGAGCAGUGAACCUUUUGAAGUGUGCUGGGAAGCGGUGAUUUGCACUCUUGUUGUGAGCAGCAAUGAUUUACAGAAAGCUCUUAAUUUAGUGAUAAAUUGACCUUGUGAAAGUUGUCCAUUGUCUGUAUAAUGCAUUUCAUCAAUGUAUAUUAUGAGGAAGAGUAAAGAAAAACGUUACAUAUAAUAUUUGAACAUAUAUUUGGCCACUCGGAUGGCUAUAGCUAGCAAAACA